UGACUGCAGGAGGGGAGGCUAGAGGGUGACACUGCCCAGGGCUGUGGUCCGAGGUUUCUCCUUGCUGUGGCACGGAGGGCGGUUAUGAAGAUGAUCCAACCUUCCUGGUCCUCAUGCUCGCCGGCUGUUCUGUGGCUGGUGGCAGACAGGCUUUCUUGCCUCAGUUGCAAAGACAGCACUCUGUGGCCUGGCCCUCCAUCACCUCCUAGAACACCUGGUUCUCUGUUCUCAGCUAACAAAGUUCUAGGCUGAUCAUGAAGAUUAAUACUACACCCCCCGUCUCCCUCCCCAGGCCACUGACCAGAACAAGUUUGGCUCAGAUCUUCAGGAGAAAAGGGAAAGAAUGCCCAGAGGGCCUAAAUCCUGCAGCCUCUUAUGUACCCCACACUCCUGCGGGCACGCCCAGGUGGCAGGUUCCGGCCGAUGCAGAAGUCCCCGGGACUGACCACUCUUUAUUGAGCACUUCCUCCCCCGACACACACAUUUUGCCACGCUUUGUGAUAGCGGAGCCUGUAGGACUUUCUCCUUCGCUCCAACUUGAUGCUAGUCUUUGCCGGUAGAGGGCGAUGGAAGAACACUAGAGAGACAGAGCAUGAGAGGGGGAGACAC